rnacentral:rRNA from 1 species
UAGGGAAUCUUCCGCAAUGGACGCAAGUCUGACGGAGCAACGCCUCGUGAGUGAAGAUUGAUUUCGGUUCUUAAAACUCUGUUGUUAGAGAAGAACAGCGCAUUGAGUAACUGUUAUGCGUGUUACGUUACUUAACCAGAAAGGGACGGCUAACUACGUGCCAGCAGCCGCUGUAAUACGUAGUUCCCGAGUGUUUUCCGAAUUUAUUGGGCGUAAAGCGAGCGCAGGAGGUUAGAUAAGUCUGAAGUUAAAGGCAGUGGCUCAACAAUUGUAGGCUUUGGAAACUGUAUAACUUGAGUGCAAAAGGGGAGAGUGGAAUUCCAUAUAUAGCGGUGAAAUACGUAGAUAUAUGGAGAAACACCGGUGGCGAAAGCGGCUCUCUGGUCUGUAUCUGACGCUGAGGCUCGAAAGCGUAGGGAGCGAACAGG